rnacentral:rRNA from 1 species
UGCCAGCCGCCGCGGUAAUACGGAGGGUGCAAGCGUUAAUCGGAAUUACUGGGCGUAAAGCGCAUGCAGGUGGUUUGUUAAGUCGGAUGUGAAAGCCCCGGGCUCAACCUGGGAACUGCAUUCGAUACUGGCAGACUAGAGUGCGGGAGAGGGAGGUAGAAUUCCAUGUGUAGCGGUGAAAUGCGUAGAUAUUAUGAAGAAUACCAGUGGCGAAGGCGGCCUCCUGGAUCUGUACUGACACUGAGGUGCGAAAGCGUGGGUAGCGAACAGGAUUAGAUA